rnacentral:rRNA from 1 species
UAGGGAAUCUUCGGCAAUGGGGGGAACCCUGACCGAGCAACGCCGCGUGAGUGAAGAAGGUUUUCGGAUCGUAAAGCUCUGUUGUUAAGGAAGAACGAGUGUGAGAAUGGAAAGUUCAUACUGUGACGGUACUUAACCAGAAAGGGACGGCUAACUACGUGCCAGCAGCCGCGGUAAUACGUAGGUCCCGAGCGUUGUCCGGAUUUAUUGGGCGUAAAGCGAGCGCAGGCGGUUAGAUAAGUCUGAAGUUAAAGGCAGUGGCUCAACCAUCGUAGGCUUUGGAAACUGUUUAACUUGAGUGCAGAAGGGGAGAGUGGAAUUCCAUGUGGAGCGGUGAAAUGCGUAGAUAUAUGGAGGAACACCGGUGGCGAAAGCGGCUCUCUGGUCUGUAACUGACGCUGAGGCUCGAAAGCGAGGGGAGCGAACAGG